CCUACGGGUGGCAGCAGUGAGGAAUAUUGGUCAAUGGACGAGAGUCUGAACCAGCCAAGUCGCGUGAAGGAUGACUGCCCUAUGGGUUGUAAACUUCUUUUAUAUGGGGAUAAAACGUUCCACGUGUGGGCUUUUGUAUGUACCAUAUGAAUAAGGAUCGGCUAACUCCGUGCCAGCAGCCGCGGUAAUACGGAGGAUCCGAGCGUUAUCCGGAUUUAUUGGGUUUAAAGGGAGCGUAGGUGGAUUGUUAAGUCAGUUGUGAAAGUUUGCGGCUUAACCGGAAAAUUGCAGUUGAAACUGGCAGUCUUGAGUACAGUAGAGGUAGGCGGAAUGCGUGGUGUAGCGGUGAAAUGCUUAGAGAUCACGAAGAACUCCGAUUGCGAAGGCAGCUCACUGGACUGCAACUGACACUGAGGCUCGAAAGUGUGGGUAUCAAACAGGAUUAGAUACCCGGGUAGUC
rnacentral:rRNA from 1 species